rnacentral:tRNA from 1 species
GCAGAGAUGGCGGAAUUGGCAGACGCGCACGGUUCAGGUCCGUGUGACAGCAAUGUCAUGAGGGUUCAAGUCCCUUUCUCUGCACUA